UGACCUCGGAUCAGGUAGGGAUACCCGCUGAACUUACAACAGGGAUUGCCUUAGUAACGGCGAGUGAAGCGGCAAUAGCUCAAAUUUGAAAGCUGGCCCCUUCGGGGUCCGCGUUGUAAUUUGUAGAGGAUGAUUCGGCGAGGGCUCCCGUCUAAGUCCCUUGGAACAGGGCGUCAUAGAGGGUGAGAAUCCCGUAUGUGAUGGGCUGCCUUAGCCAUGUGAAUCUCCUUCGACGAGUCGAGUUGUUUGGGAAUGCAGCUCUAAAUGGGAGGUAAAUUUCUUCUAAAGCUAAAUACCGGCCAGAGACCGAUAGCGCACAAGUAGAGUGAUCGAAAGAUGAAAAGCACUUUGGAAAGAGAGUUAAAAAGUACGUGAAAUUGUUGAAAGGGAAGCGCUUGCAGCCAGACUUGUCCGCAGUUGCUCAGCCCGUCUCCUGACGGGCGUACUCUUCUGCGGCCAGGCCAGCAUCAGUUCGGGCGGUCGGAUAAAGACCCGGGGAACGUAGCUCCUCUCGGGGAGUGUUAUAGCCCCGGGUGCAAUGCGGCCAGCCUGGACUGAGGAUCUCGCUUCGGCUAGGAUGCUGGCGUAAUGGCUGUAAGCGG
rnacentral:rRNA from 1 species